rnacentral:rRNA from 1 species
CGUGACACAGGUGCUGCUGGCUGUCGUCAGCUCGUGUCGUGAGAUGUUGGGUUAAGUCCCGCAACGAGCGCAACCCUUGUCCUUAGUUGCCAGCACGUAAUGGUGGGAACUCUAAGGAGACCGCCGGCGACAAGCCGGAGGAAGGUGGGGAUGACGUCAAGUCAUCAUGGCCCUUACGGCCAGGGCUACACACGUACUACAAUGGUGGGGACAGAGGGCUGCGAUACCGCGAGGUGGAGCCAAUCCCAAAAACCCCAUCCCAGUCCGGAUUGGAGUCUGCAACUCGACUCCAUGAAAUCGGAAUCGCUAGUAAUCGCAGAUCAGCAUUGCUGCGG